rnacentral:rRNA from 1 species
GGGUUGUGAGGUUAAGCGACUAAGCGUACACGGUGGAUGCCCUGGCAGUCAGAGGCGAUGAAGGGCGUGCUAAUCUGCGAUAAGCGCCGGUAAGGUGAUAUGAACCGUUAUAACCGGCGAUACCCGAAUGGGGAAACCCAGUGUGAUUCGUCACACUAUCAUUAACUGAAUCCAUAGGUUAAUGAGGCGAACCGGGGGAACUGAAACAUCUAAGUACCCCGAGGAAAAGAAAUCAACCGAGAUUCCCCCAGUAGCGGCGAGCGAACGGGGAGGAGCCCAGAGCCUGAAUCAGCAUGUGUGUUAGUGGAAGCGUCUGGAAAGGCGCGCGAUACAGGGUGACAGCCCCGUACACAAAAGCGCAUGUGCUGUGAGCUCGAUGAGUAGGGCGGGACACGUGGUAUCCUGUCUGAAUAUGGGGGGACCAUCCUCCAAGGCUAAAUACUCCUGACUGACCGAUAGUGAACCAGUACCGUGAGGGAAAGGCGAAAAGAACCCCGGCGAGGGGAGUGAAAAAGAACCUGAAACCGUGUACGUACAAGCAGUGGGAGCNNGUGACUGCGUACCUUUUGUAUAAUGGGUCAGCGACUUAUAUUCUGUAGCAAGGUUAACCGAAUAGGGGAGCCGGAGGGAAACCGAGUCUUAAUUGGGCGUUAAGUUGCAGGGUAUAGACCCGAAACCCGGUGAUCUAGCCAUGGGCAGGUUGAAGGUUGGGUAACACUAACUGGAGGACCGAACCGACUAAUGUUGAAAAAUUAGCGGAUGACCUGUGGCUGGGGGUGAAAGGCCAAUCAAACCGGGAGAUAGCUGGUUCUCCCCGAAAGCUAUUUAGGUAGCGCCUCGUGAAUUCAUCUCCGGGGGUAGAGCACUGUUUCGGCUAGGGGGCCAUCCCGGCUUACCAACCCGAUGCAAACUGCGAAUACCGGAGAAUGUUAUCACGGGAGACACACGGCGGGUGCUAACGUCCGUCGUGAAGAGGGAAACAACCCAGACCGCCAGCUAAGGUCCCAAAGUCAUGGUUAAGUGGGAAACGAUGUGGGAAGGCCCAGACAGCCAGGAUGUUGGCUUAGAAGCAGCCAUCAUUUAAAGAAAGCGUAAUAGCUCACUGGUCGAGUCGGCCUGCGCGGAAGAUGUAACGGGGCUAAACCAUGCACCGAAGCUGCGGCAGCGANNGUUGGGUAGGGGAGCGUUCUGUAAGCCUGUGAAGGUGGCCUGUGAGGGUUGCUGGAGGUAUCAGAAGUGCGAAUGCUGACAUAAGUAACGAUAAAGCGGGUGAAAAGCCCGCUCGCCGGAAGACCAAGGGUUCCUGUCCAACGUUAAUCGGGGCAGGGUGAGUCGACCCCUAAGGCGAGGCCGAAAGGCGUAGUCGAUGGGAAACGGGUUAAUAUUCCCGUACUUGGUGUUACUGCGAAGGGGGGACGGAGAAGGCUAUGUUGGCCGGGCGACGGUUGUCCCGGUUUAAGCGUGUAGGUGUGUGUUCCAGGUAAAUCCGGUUCACUUUAACACUGAGGCGUGAUGACGAGGCACUACGGUGCUGAAGUAACAAAUGCCCUGCUUCCAGGAAAAGCCUCUAAGCAUCAGGUAACAUCAAAUCGUACCCCAAACCGACACAGGUGGUCAGGUAGAGAAUACCAAGGCGCUUGAGAGAACUCGGGUGAAGGAACUAGGCAAAAUGGUGCCGUAACUUCGGGAGAAGGCACGCUGACACGUAGGUGAAGUGAUUUACUCAUGGAGCUGAAGUCAGUCGAAGAUACCAGCUGGCUGCAACUGUUUAUUAAAAACACAGCACUGUGCAAACACGAAAGUGGACGUAUACGGUGUGACGCCUGCCCGGUGCCGGAAGGUUAAUUGAUGGGGUCAGCGCAAGCGAAGCUCCUGAUCGAAGCCCCGGUAAACGGCGGCCGUAACUAUAACGGUCCUAAGGUAGCGAAAUUCCUUGUCGGGUAAGUUCCGACCUGCACGAAUGGCGUAAUGAUGGCCAGGCUGUCUCCACCCGAGACUCAGUGAAAUUGAACUCGCUGUGAAGAUGCAGUGUACCCGCGGCAAGACGGAAAGACCCCGUGAACCUUUACUAUAGCUUGACACUGAACAUUGAGCCUUGAUGUGUAGGAUAGGUGGGAGGCUUUGAAGUGUGGACGCCAGUCUGCAUGGAGCCGACCUUGAAAUACCACCCUUUAAUGUUUGAUGUUCUAACGUGGACCCGUGAUCCGGGUUGCGGACAGUGUCUGGUGGGUAGUUUGACUGGGGCGGUCUCCUCCUAAAGAGUAACGGAGGAGCACGAAGGUUGGCUAAUCCUGGUCGGACAUCAGGAGGUUAGUGCAAUGGCAUAAGCCAGCUUGACUGCGAGCGUGACGGCGCGAGCAGGUGCGAAAGCAGGUCAUAGUGAUCCGGUGGUUCUGAAUGGAAGGGCCAUCGCUCAACGGAUAAAAGGUACUCCGGGGAUAACAGGCUGAUACCGCCCAAGAGUUCAUAUCGACGGCGGUGUUUGGCACCUCGAUGUCGGCUCAUCACAUCCUGGGGCUGAAGUAGGUCCCAAGGGUAUGGCUGUUCGCCAUUUAAAGUGGUACGCGAGCUGGGUUUAGAACGUCGUGAGACAGUUCGGUCCCUAUCUGCCGUGGGCGCUGGAGAACUGAGGGGGGCUGCUCCUAGUACGAGAGGACCGGAGUGGACGCAUCACUGGUGUUCGGGUUGUCAUGCCAAUGGCACUGCCCGGUAGCUAAAUGCGGAAGAGAUAAGUGCUGAAAGCAUCUAAGCACGAAACUUGCCCCGAGAUGAGUUCUCCCUGAGACUU